rfam:Streptomyces hygroscopicus ATCC 53653 genomic scaffold supercont1.1, whole genome shotgun sequence.
CUUCACCGAGCCCAGCCACAGCGGCUCGGCGCCCUCGCGCCCCUGGCCGUAGGUCGCGAGCAGCGCCUGGGCUUC